GGAUGUGAGGGACAUUUGGCUGCAACAUCUGUCACCCCAUUGAUCGCCAGGGUUGAUUCGGCUGAUCUGGCUGGCUAGGCGGGUGUCCCCUUCCUCCCUCCCCGCUCCAUGUGCAUCCCUCCCGAAGCUGCACGCUCGGUUGAAGAGGACAACCUUCCCCGAUAGAGGAGAGGACCGUUCUUCGGUCAAGGGUAUAUGAGUAGCUGCGCUCCCCUGCUUAGAACCUUCAAACAAGCUCUCAAAUGGAAAACUCAGUUCCUCCAUUAUACUAGUCAUAUUUUAAGUAUUCAAUAGCUAGAUAGAUAAUGACUGCUCUAUCAGACACAAAUAUAGCCCUUUUUCCAUCUUUGCAGAAAGGUUUAU
rnacentral:snRNA from 1 species